rnacentral:lncRNA from 1 species
CAGAUGAUGAAGUUGAAAGCCAGGCAUGUGUUGUGCCCAUGCUAAUUCUCUCUCGCUGUGGAAGCGGCCGCCUGGCUGCGCGAAGCCAUCAUCUGGUGCUGUGUACAGCAAGCACAUGCUUCGGGCAAGGAGGGAGCCAGCACCACAUCUACAUCAGCAAGAACCUCGGUGCUCAAAAUAAACAUUUUCUGUGCAAA